rfam:Triticum aestivum genome assembly, contig: Triticum_aestivum_CS42_TGACv1_scaffold_577842_7BL
CAACUACUCCCUCUGUCCCAAAUUUCUUGUCUUAGAUUUGUCUAGAUACGGAUGUAUCUAAUACUAAAAUGUGACUUGAUACAUCCGCAUCUAGACGAAUCUAAGAGAAGAAUUUUGGGACGGAGGGAGUACUUU